rnacentral:lncRNA from 1 species
UGAGGCAGGAGAAUGGCGUGAACCCAGGAGGCAGAGCUUGCAGUGAGUGGAGAUUGCUCCACUGCACUCCAGCCUGGGUGACAGAGCAAGACUCCGUCUCAAAAAAAAAGAAAGAAAUACAUUUCUUAAGGCUAUAGCUGCCGUAGAUAGUGAUUGCUCUGCUGGAUCCGAACAAAGCGAAUGGAAUGCCUUCUGGAAGUAGUUCACCACUCUACAUGCCAUUAAGAACGUUCCUGUUUCAUGGGAGGAGGCAAAAUAUCAACAUGAACAGGAGUCUGCAGGGAUUUAAUCCCAGCCCUCACAGGUGACUCUGAGUGGUUCAAGACUUUAAUGGAGGCAGGAACUGCAGAUGGUGGAAACGGUGAGACAACUGGAAUGAGAAGAGGAGCCUGACGAUGUGGCUGAAUUGCUGCAAUCUCAGGGUAAAACUUUAAUGAAUGAGGAGUUUCUCCUUACGAAUGAGCAAAGAAAGUUGUUUUUUGAGAUGGAAUCUACUCCUGGUAGAGACAAACAUUCUUGAAGUGACAACAAGGUAUUCAGAAUAUUACAUAAAGCAGCAGCAGGGUUUGAGAGGACUGGCUCCAAAUUUGAAAGAGGUUCUACUGUGAGUAAAAUGCUGUGAAACGACAUUACAUACCGCAGAUAAGUCUUUUGUGAAGGAAAGAGUCCAUUGAAGAGCAAAAUUCAUUGUUGUCUUAAGAAAUUGUCACGGUUACCCCAGUCUUCAGCAACUGCCACGCUGAUCAGUUAGCAGACAUCAACACUGAGUGCGUCUUCUCCGUUGCCUUUAUUGAUCAAGGCCAAAAUCACAAGUAUAAAUUACCACGGUGGGAAACGAGCUGCUCUGAUGAGAGGCAGGUGGAGGAGGCUGCCUCGUCAAUAAUGCAUCUGAUCAGAAAGAAGGGGCUGAUCAGAGGGAGGCCGGGCUCUUUGAAGGUUCUGGUUUUCCCAUGGAAAGCUCCACCAGCUCUCUGCCUGCCGAGUUCCUGCUCUUGCCCAGACGGGAAGUGCGAGUAGCUUUCAUAUCAGACCUGCCGCUCACCGCACCGAACUGAUUCCAUGGACACUGACAUUUGUCUCUGCAGCAGGGAUGGCCGCCCUGGCCCAGGCUCCUGUCGCUGUGGAUGCCUCUGUCUGGCACAGACUUUCGGUGUUAGAGCCCAUUCCGGCUGUGGGCUCCUUGGAGGAAGAGCAGAGGUGAGGCGCUUCUCAUCCCACCACAUCAGGGGUCCUGCCUCGGCCCGGCUCACUGCUGAUGUUGACCUCGGCUACCUGGCAGAGUGUGCUGGCCAGGUUUCUCCAGCAUGAAGUCACUCUCGUUUCCCUUGUGGGGAGAAGUGGAAGGAAGGACGCACGAGAGCCAGCCUGCGACACCUAAGGACAGAAACACGGCGAUGCUCCUUCCAUCAAAACCAGAGUGUCCCAGCUCUAGAUUCCCCACCCAAUCUCCUGUGGCUGUCUCAGCACCUCCGUCGUGAAUCCGUGCAUCCCUUCAGACGACUGCCUUCCGAUGCGGCCCCUGACCUGCCCCCCCUCCCAUCACUGAAUAGGACUCCUUUUCUCCUGGAUUUCCUGUAGGAAGUUUCAAAAUGCUCUCCAGGUUUUCUGUGGGUGGAUUAUCUCUCUGGAUCUUUCUAAGUGAGUCCUGUGUUUCACCACAGCUCCC